AUCGCGGGUCCGUGACUGAAUUAAAGUAUAUAACUAUGCCUAAGCCUUAUUUUAGUAAUUGGUAUUGUCAUCUGAUAAAGUCAUGUCGAUUAUAAGAUACACAGUUUUCUCUGCUUUCAAAUCUAUCUGUUUGAACCCGUCGACCUGGAACUUAUCAAUUAUUGGAAAUAUUAAUUAUUUGGAAAACAAAAGGUCCAGGCUAUCCAGGAAUGGGGUAUUUUUUAAUCAACAGCAUUGUCCUAUAUUAGUUAUCUUAGAAAGUCUUGCUGAUUGCUGAAUAAAGCUACAAUAGGGAACAAUUUGACAAUGAUUGAAUUUAGUAGUGUCAGCCCUUUGAUUAUGACCCGUGUAUAUAGCAAAAUCCUAAAUACACCGUUUGGUGGUGCGCCUGUCAAAUGCAGAACGUACAGAUAAGGUAAUAGCUAACAGGUGAAUAUACUAUUGGUAUCGGUAUCGGAUUAGACCCGGAACUUGUUAAUUAUUGGCAAUAUUAAUUAUGUGGAAAACAAAAGGGUCGGGAGUGGUGUAAGUUUUAAUCUACACCAUUGUCCUAUAUUAGUU
rnacentral:lncRNA from 1 species